AUUGUACUGGUCAAGUCAGUCAAACCAGUCAAGCGGACAAGAAAGAGGGACUCAGAUCACCUGGAAUUAUGGCAAUGUCUUGCAAGGAUACUUCUGAAAAUCGGGUGUCACGGGAAGCUGAACUUUGCAUCCCAGUUCUGAAACAUACAGCAACCUCAUGGAGACAGAUGCAUCACUCGGCAUUUUGGGGCGGUAGCGAGUUCAGUGACCUGCCAGAUUUCUUAGCAUUAACUUGAAAGAGAAGACACUUAUUUGAUUUGAUUUGAUUUCUACUAGUCAAGUGGGCACCUGGAUUAAGCAGACUCUCCCCCAGGCACCCCGGAGGCCUCUGACAUCCCUUAUGUCCAGCCCAGACAUGGCCUUUCUGUGGCCUCAGCGUAUCUGCCCAGUCCAAUCGGCUAUAGCCAGAAUAAAAAGGGAGGAAGAUCCAAGAGAGGGAAGGAGGCUUUCCCAGCUACUUUCCUGCUAACCAGGGCAGAGGCUGGUCUACAUCCCCCUAUCCAGGUGGCCCCUGCAGUCAUGGCUUUUCUGCUUCUAGAAGCCAUCCCUGAGGUCAGCUGAAUUUAGACCUAUGGUAUCUCCAGUACAGCACUUUGUCAUCUGUUUGUGAUAAUAGUUUUCCAAUUCUUGUCACUUCCGCCAGAACAUCAUUGCAGAACUCAAAAUACAUUGCAUCAUACAAAAUGAAGUGGAGAAUUAAGGGAGGCAGGAGGAGCGCUUGUACUAUAUAGGGUCUCUGGAAACACUUAAAGUUCAGAAAGACCCACGACCCCAAUCCAAGCUUCUAGACAGAAGAGAGAGGG
rnacentral:lncRNA from 1 species